AUUGAACGCUGGCGGCAGGCCUAACACAUGCAAGUCGAGCGGAGCGGCGGACGGGUGAGUAAUGCCUAGGAAUCUGCCUGGUAGUGAGGGAUAACGUCCGGAAACGGGCGCUAAUACCACAUCCUAUCAGCUGCGCCUGGGUCGGAUUAGCUAGUUGGUGGGGUAAAGGCCUACCAAGGCGACGAUCCGUAACUGGUCUGAGAGGAUGAUCAGUCAGCAUGGAACUGAGACACGGGCCAGACUCCUACGGUAGGCAGCAGUGGGGAAUAUUGCACAAUGGGAGAAAGCCUGAUCGCGCCAUGCCGCGUGUGUGAAGAAGGUCUUCGGAUUGUAAAGCACUUUAAGUUGGGAGGCGUUACCAACAGAAUAAGCACCGGCUAACGUCGUGCCAGCAGCCGCGGUAAUAC
rnacentral:rRNA from 1 species